rnacentral:rRNA from 1 species
AGCGAACGCUGGCGGCAGGCUUAACACAUGCAAGUCGAACGGGCGUAGCAAUACGUCAGUGGCAGACGGGUGAGUAACGCGUGGGAACGUACCUUUUGGUUCGGAACAACCCAGGGAAACUUGGGCUAAUACCGGAUAAGCCCUUACGGGGAAAGAUUUAUCGCCAAUGGAUUGGCCCGCGUCUGAUUAGCUAGUUGGUGAGGUAAUGGCUCACCAAGGCGACGAUCAGUAGCUGGUCGAGAGGAUGAUCAGCCACACUGGGACUGAGACACGGCCCAGACUCCUACGGGAGGCAGCAGUGGGGAAUAUUGGACAAUGGGCGAAAGCCUGAUCCAGCCAUGCCGCGUGAUAGAUGAAGGCCCUCUGGGUUGUAAAUAUCUUUAUCUGGGAAGAAACACUCUUAUUCUUAAGAGCUUGAUGGUACCAGAGGAAUAAGCACCGGCUAACUCCGUGCCAGCAGCCG